rnacentral:rRNA from 1 species
UACGGAGGGUGCGAGCGUUAAUCGGAAUUACUGGGCGUAAAGGGUGCGUAGGUGGUUGAUUAAGUUAUCUGUGAAAUACCUGGGCUUAACCUGGGCAGGUCAGAUGAUACUGAUUGACUCGAGUACGGGAGAGGGUAGUGGAAUUUCCGGUGUAGCGGUGAAAUGCGUAGAGAUCGGAAGGAACACCGGUGGCGAAGGCGGCUACCUGGCCUGAUACUGACACUGAGGCACGAAAGCGUGGGGAGCAAACAGG